CGGACCGGCGCACGGGUGAGUAACGCGUAUGCAACUUACCUAUCAGGAGGGGAUAACCCGGCGAAAGUCGGACUAAUACCGCAUGAAGCAGGGGCCCCGCAUGGGGAUAUUUGCUAAAGAUUCAUCGCUGAUAGAUAGGCAUGCGUUCCAUUAGGCAGUUGGCGGGGUAACGGCCCACCAAACCGACGAUGGAUAGGGGUUCUGAGAGGAAGGCCCCCACAUUGGUACUGAGACACGGACCAA
rnacentral:rRNA from 1 species